rnacentral:lncRNA from 1 species
CCCCGGGGGUCACCCAUAGGUGCCACAAUGCAACGUGCACGCAACGCUUUGCUCCCAUCCCCAGGCCAGCCUGGCAGCCAACAGGCAGAGCGGCUCCUCUGGCAGCAAUGGCACGCAGCAGGCGCCUGUGCAGCAGCCCACGAUCAACCUGGCCACGUCACCAGCAGCAGCCCAGCUCCUGAACCGGGCACAGAGCGUCAACCCCGGGGCGUCAGGCAUCGCGCAGCAAGCUGUCCUGCUGGGCAACGCCGCCUCACCUGCCCUCACCGCCAGCCAGGCACAGAUGUACCUGCGGGCACAGAUGCUCAUCUUCACACCCACGGGCCCUGUCAGCGACCUCCCUGCCCUCGCCAUGAAACCCCCUGGCAGCACUCCACGGGCCGGACCCCCCCGUGUGCCCCCACCCGAGAACCCUGGUGACCACCUCAAAAAGGCUGAGGGCCCCGAUGCCCGCACCCACCCCAUGGCCCGCACUGCUGCUGCCCCUGCUGCCGCCCACCCACUCGUCACCCCAGCCUACGCCCCGCUGCAGCAGCCCCAGUUCCUGCAGCAACCACCGAAGCCGAUGCAGCAGCAGCGCCACCGGCGGCACCAGCAGCGGCAGCUGGCCCCCCGUGGGCAGCACCCCUCGGGCCCAACCGCCCCCCAACUCCAGCCACUGCCCCCUGCCAGCCCCAGCCCAGCCCCCCCGCCCAAAGCUGGAGCCCCCCAUGGGACGGGGGCGGAAGGCACAGCCCCCAACGGGCACCCUGGCUGCUACGGGGCACCCCGCAAGUUCCAGCACGCCUCCGCCGUCAUCCUGCAGCUGCAGCCGGCCAGCAGCACGGUGAGGGCCCCCCGGCCCCAGAGAGCAGGGGGUGCUGGGGGUCGGGGUGCAUGGGGGGCCCCAGUGUGCACUCGGGUGGGUGUGCUACGUGCUGUGUGCAUGUCAGCUCUGUGCACGUGUGCAACCCUUGUGCCAGAUCCACGUGUGCGUGCAUGCACGGCUGGUGUACUCCUGAGCUACGCACGUGUUGCAUGUGUGCAUGACCCGUGCACCAUUGCCUGCUCCGUGUCCAAUUGUGCCACAUGCAUGUGUGCGCAAUGGCCCGCACACAGCUGUCCACAGGGCUUACGCACCUGGACCAUGUUUGCACGUGUGUUUGCACUUGGCUCACGCACAAGUAUGUGCGUGCAAGCGCUUACAGGCUGCCUCCAUGUGCACAUUUCUACCUGUCCCGCGUGCACGUGAGUGCAUUCCUGGCCUCUGCAUGUGCGCGCCGGGCCCAUGCACACACGUAGCAGCGUCACCCAGACCUGAGCAUCCGCGUGCACGCGCGCGUGCCCCGCACAC